GUGGGGAAUAUUGGACAAUGGGCGCAAUCCUGAUCCAGCCAUACCGCGUGGGUGAAGAAGGCCUUCGGGUUGUAAAGCCCUUUUGUUGGGAAAGAAAUCCUGUCGGUUAAUACCUGGCGGGGAUGACGGUACCCAAAGAAUAAGCACCGGCUAACUUCGUGCCAGCAGCCGCGGUAAUACGAAGGGUGCAAGCGUUACUCGGAAUUACUGGGCGUAAAGCGUGCGUAGGUGGUGGUUUAAGUCCGUUGUGAAAGCCCUGGGCUCAACCUGGGAAUUGCAGUGGAUACUGGAUCACUAGAGUGUGGUAGAGGAUGGCGGAAUUCCCGGUGUAGCGGUGAAAUGCGUAGAGAUCGGGAGGAACAUCCGUGGCGAAGGCGGCCAUCUGGACCAGCACUGACACUGAGGCACGAAAGCGUGGGGAGCAAACAGGAUUAGAAACCCGAGUAGUCC
rnacentral:rRNA from 1 species